CCUGGUUGAUCCUUCCAGUAGUCAUAUUAUUGUCUCACAGAUUAAGCCAUGCAUGUGUAAGUAUGAACAACUUCAGACUGUGAAACUGCGAAAGGCUCAUUAAAUCAGUUAUAGUUUUUUGAUGGUAUCUACUACUCGGAUAACCAUAGUAAUUCAAGAGCUAAUAUGUGCAACAAACCCCAACUUUUGGAAGGGAUGUAUUUAUUAUAUAAAAGGUCGACGCGGGCUCUGCUCGUUGUUGCGAUGAUUCAUGAUAACUCGAUGGAUCGCACGACCAUCGUGCCGGUAAUGCAUCAUUCAAAUUUCUGCCCUAUCAACUUUCGAUAGUAGGAUAGUGUCCUACCAUGGUGGUGACGGGUGACAGAGAAUUAGGGUUCGAUUCCGGAGAGGGAGCCUGAGAAACGGCUACCACAUCUAAGGAAGGCAACAGGCGCACAAAUUACCCAAUCCUGACACGGGGAGGUAGUGACAAUAAAUAACAAUACCGGGCUCUAUGAGUUGGGUAAUUGGAAUGAGUAAAAUCUAAAUUCCUUUACGAGGAUCCAUUGGAGGGCAAGUCUGGUGCCAGUAGCCACGGUAAUUCCAGCUCCAAUAGCGUAUAUUUAAGUUGUUGCAGUUAAAAGGCUUGUAGUUGGACUUUGGGAUGGGCUGGCCGGUCUGCCUUAGGUGUGCACCGGUCGUCUUGUCCCUUCUGCCAGCGAUGCGCUCCUGGCCUUAAUUGGUCGGGUCGUGCCUCCGGCACUGUUACUUUGAAGAAAUUAGAAUGCUCAAAGCAAGCCUAUGCUCUGUAUACAUUAGCAUGGGAUAACAUUAUAGGAUUUUAGUCUUAUUACAUUGACCUUCGAGAUCGGAGUAAUGAUUAACUGGGACAGUCGGGGGCAUUCGUAUUUCAUAGUCAGAGGUGAAAUUCUUAGAUUUAUGAAAGGCGAACAAGUGCGAAAGUAUUUUCCAAGGAUGUUUUUAUUAAUCAAGAACGAAAGUUGGGGGCUCGAAGACGAUCAGAUACCGUCCUAGUCUCAACCAUAAACGGUGUCGACCAGGGAUCAACGGAUGUUUCUUUUAGGACUCUGUCGACACUUUAUGAGAAAUCAAAGUUUUUGGGUUCCGGGGGGAGUAUGGUCGCAAGGACGAAACUUAAAGGAAUUGACAGAAGGGACCCACCAGGAGUGGAGCCUGCGGCUUAAUUUGACUCAACACGGGGAAUCUUACCAGGUCCAGACAUUAUAAGGAUUCAUAGAAUGAGAGCUCUUUCUUGAUUCUAUGGGUGGUGGUGCAUGGCCGUUAUUAGUUGGUGGAGUGAUUUGUCUGGUUAAUUCCGUUAACGAACGAGACCUCAGCCUGCUAACUAGCUAUACAGAGGUAUCCCUUCACAGCCAGCUUCUUAGAGAGACUACGGCCUUUUAGGCCGUGGAAGUUUGAGGUAAUAACAGGUCUGUGAUGCCCUUAGAUGUUCUGGGACACACACGCGCAACACUGAUGUAUUCAACGAGUUUAUAGCCUUGGCCGAUAGGCCCGGGUAAUCUUUGAAAUUUCAUCGUGAUGGGGAUAGAUCAUUGCAAUUGUUGGUCUUCAACGAGGAAUUCCUAGUAAGCGCGAGUCAUCAGCUCGCGUUGACUACGUCCCUGCCCUUUGUACACACCGCCCGUCGCUCCUNUGCCCUUUGUACACACCGCUCGUUGCUCCUACCGAUUGAAUGAUCCAGUGAAACAUUCGGAUUGCGACGACGUGGGCGGUUCGCUGCCCGCGACGUCGUGAGAAGUCCAUUGAACCUUAUCGGUUAGAGGAAGGAGAAGUCGUAACAAGGUUUCCGUAGGUGAACCUGCGGAAG
rnacentral:rRNA from 1 species